ensembl:snoRNA
CUUCUAGCCUCUGACAAAGCCUGCCUGGGGAGGAACAGUGGGACUGUUGAUGAAUGUCAGUGGUUCAGUUGGCAGCAG